ensembl:lncRNA
GAUGCAAUGAAGGAAGCAGCUUACAUUCCUUUAAUUCCCAGAGCCAGUGUGUUCCCUCCCCUGCCCACUUGGGCCCCGUAUCAGGCGAGUAUGGAAGGCUGGAUAGCCCAUGACGGGUAAGAUCCCACCUCGAAACCCUGGGACAACCUAAGGCAGGCACAGUCACGAUUACUCUCGGCUUCAGUAAGAAGACGGGUCCUGACGGAAGAUCUCGGCGACCACAGGAGGGGCGAGGAUCCUGGAGAUCUCGAGGUUCGAGACCACCAGAGAAGGGUCUGCGUGAGGACACAAUGUAUUGUGACCUCUGGUGUUCCAGAGGUCAAAAGGGGGAGUGUCGAGGAGGGAAAUUAUUUUACUGCUAUUGUUAAAUAAUUGUCAUUGCAUUAAUAAUAUAAUUUGCAGCAUGGAUAUUGCAUUCCAAGGUUUAAACAGUGUCUCUUUCAGAAAGACUGAGUUGCAGGCUGACAGG